CCUACGGGAGGCAGCAGUGAGGAAUAUUGGUCAAUGGACGCGAGUCUGAACCAGCCAAGUAGCGUGAAGGAUGACUGCCCUAUGGGUUGUAAACUUCUUUUAUAUGGGAAUAAAGUGUUCCACGUGUGUCUUUUUGUAUGUACCUUAUGAAUAAGGAUCGGCUAACUCCGUGCCAGCAGCCGCGGUAAUACGGAGGAUCCGAGCGUUAUCCGGAUUUAUUGGGUUUAAAGGGAGCGUAGGUGGAUUGUUAAGUCAGUUGUGAAAGUUUGCGGCUCAACCGUAAAAUUGCAGUUGAAACUGGCAGUCUUGAGUACAGUAGAGGUAGGCGGAAUUCGUGGUGUAGCGGUGAAAUGCUUAGAUAUCACGAAGAACUCCGAUUGCGAAGGCAGCCUGCUGGACUGCAACUGACAGUGAGGCUCGAAAGUGUGGGUAUCAAACAGGAUUAGAUACCCUAGUAGUC
rnacentral:rRNA from 1 species